rnacentral:lncRNA from 1 species
UUCGUAUUCACUCCCACCACGCGACCCACUCCCCACCCCCGCUGCGACGCUCCGCGUCUUCUAAACUAGUGGUUGCGGGAGAGAUACGGGUGAAGAGGGGGAGGGGGAGAGAGGCUCGACGUUAUCACAAUUUCGGGGGCAUAUUACAGAGACUGAAGUCUGGCUUUUAUAUCAGAAAAAAAAAAACAUAUGCCAAAUGGAUCUGAAUUAAACUUGUUUCAUCCAUGCCCAGAGCAAGAGGUCAAACUGGGACACUCAGAGGCGGCGACAAUCAUGACACCACUGUGUUCACCAGCUUCCUCUUGAAGAUGGCCAGUCAGCGCUAAGCUAACUAGCUGGGUGUAGCAGAUUUGACUGGAA